AGAGACGUCCAAGAUGAAGUGUUGGUAAGUUUGUGGUUUGAGGAGUGGAGGAUGUUUGGGCUUUUUGGGAGAGAAUUUAUCAAGAAAGAUACCUCUUCUUAGACCCACCGUGCUUCCCAGUCCUGCAAUCUCACUAGCCAUAUAAUUGACUUCUAUUUCAGGUGGAUACAGAACUUUAUGCUUUCAAAAUGCUCUUAUAUUGGCACUUUAGAAUGUCGAGUACCAUUUUGUAAGGCAUAUAAGAGUGAGGAUAUUAUCCCUUGGGAAAAGAUCAGUCCAGCACAGGGAACCAUUUGUCAUGCUCAAACUGACACACUGCUGUUACAUGAGUUAGCAUAGAGGUUUUCUAACCCGGGUCUGCCUUUUAGACUUUGUACACGUGUACACAGCACACUUUGCAGACUACCCCCUACACACACAGCACACUUUACAGACUAUCUCCUCCUCAUCUCUGUUUGGUACUGGCCUGUUUAAAGGGCAAAGAAAUGACUGAGAAAGGCUUUAGGAGGGAGCCUAUGUACUAGCAUGAGGGCACAGCUGAGGGAAUGAGCUUUUGGGAACUUGUUGGCUGAGCAGGUAAGAAUGCUUUGGAUUAUUUUGUCUUUAUUUUUUAAUAAGACAAGGUCUUUUUUGUUUGUUUGUUUGUUUUGGUUUUGGUUUUUUUCCUAGACAGGGUUUCUCUGUGUAGCCAUGACUGUCCUGGAACUCACUCUGUAGGCCAGGCCAUCACUGCUGGGCUUAUGACAAGGUCUUACACAGCCUACCUAUGCUGCUUUCAGACUUGUUACAUAGCCAAGGCUGGUCUUGGUCUACCGAGCCUCCUGUCUCCACGUGAUUUACCAAGUUUAAAUAGGGGCUGAGGGCGUGGCUUGUGGUAGAGUUCUUUGCCUAGCACUCAGCAGGGCGUCUAGCAUAAUCACCCGCAAAUCACCCGCACUCACUCCAAGGAGGAAAAGGAAAGAUAGAUUUGGCUCAAGGCAGAAGGAAUUCAUGUCUGCCUCAUCUCCCUCUUCUCUGCAGCUUUCAUUUAGUCAACAGCUACUAGAGUCUGUCUCUCCAGUGUGCAAGACCCUGGGCUCCGCACAGCACCAGGCAGGAGCUAGUGCUCUGUGAAACAUCAGGCGGAGGGACUCGUAAAAAAUAACCAAAGUAAUUUUCAGAUUCUGGAGCAGAUGCUUGUGGGCUGCAGCACCUUCUCUGCCUGUCUGUGUCUUGAGAUGUUACAUAAAUCUCUGGCUGGUCCCCAUCCCUCCCGGCCCCUCCCUCCCAGUAACCUGAAAUAUUAACCUUAUAGCCCUGGCCUUCUCCCUCACCGUUGCUUCGUUGCCUUGACACUGCAUGCUCCUAUAAGCCAGCUGGUUUGCUUUAAAGCUGGCCUUUCUCACCGAGUGAACCUCAUGGCACCUGCAUUUGGAUCUAAGUGGGACUGUUUUUAGAGACCAGUGCUUAAGUGAGAAAUUGGAAUAGCACUUCUGGUUUCCUUUACACAUUGUUAUAGCACUCAGUGAGCAUCUCUCUCUCUCUCUCUCUCUCUCUCUCUCUCUCUCUCACACACACACACACACACACACACACACACACACACACACACAACUUGAGCUAAUCUCUCUAGGGAGAUAAGAUCCUGCAGGGACUCAUGUGGCUUAGCAUGCCCACCUGUAAGAGCAUCACCAAUAGCUCUACUGAGCAGUUAGGGGGAUAAGCAAAAACUCUCAGAGGUAACAUCUUGUGAAUUGCUGUUUAUAAGUUUACUGGGCAGAAAUAUCUGAGCUGACAUUUAAAAACAAAUAUCCUUGACUUUAAAAUCCUAUUUUAAAAAUAGGAUUGGUGUUUUGACCAGGACAUUUUAACCUAUGGGAGAGAGGAAGAGUUAUUAAAAACAUAGCUCCUUAACUAAAAUGUUUUUUAAUAAAAUGAGACCAGUAAUACUGGAAUGGUCUGUAAAUAUUAUACUGGAUCAUUGUAUUUAGUCCUUACUGUCACAUGAGGAAGGCACUAAUUAUCUUCACUUUAUGGAGGAGGAAACUGAGCCAGCCACAAAAGACGAUUAUGUCCAGUAUUGGUUAUAUAAAUGUGACAAAUCUGAAGGAUGCUAAGGAAUACUUAUCAACAUAUAAGUUAAGGGGUUCAGCAGUCAAGUGUGCUUGCGGCUCUUGCAGAGCCCCUGAGUUCAGUUGCCAGCACCCACACUGGACAGGCUCUAACUCCAGCCCAGGGAGAUCAGAUGUCCUUUUCUGGUUUCAAGGACAAUCACACCAGCAUGUGCACACAUACAUACAUGAACAUGAGCAUGAUUAUCUGAGGACACUGAUUUCUAUCACUGCUUCAGGAGAGGCAGACCAGAGCUUUCAUCUGCCCGCAUAAUUAAACAUGUCCAGAUACAGGCUGUGCCUUCAUUGUUUGUCUGACAUCAUCUCGAGUCUUCACCUUAUGAAUUCCCAUGAAUGAGCCUCAAAGAAACCAAACAAUAUCCCUUACAUCUCUGCAGAUAGAUUCUUAUUGCAACCCCACAUGGGUUCUCAAUGCUACAGCAAAUGGCUCUAAAAAGAAAUGAGCAUGAGGGAUGAGGUAAGGGGACAGGGGGCUGUGUCCCCCGAGUCUUGGUCCUGGAACCCUGACUGGGACAGAGGAAAGAACAGACACAAAUACCGGUCUAGAAAAGCCAGGGCCAAGCCAGGCUGUGGUGGUGCAUGUCUUUAAUCCCACUUGGGAGGCCAAGGCAGGCGGAUUUCUGAGUUCGAGGCCACUACUAUAAAGUGAGUUUUAGGACAGCCAGGGCUAUAUAGAGAAAACUUGUCUUGAAAAACC
rnacentral:lncRNA from 1 species